UCCAGACUCCUACGGGAGGCAGCAGUGAGGAAUAUUGGUCAAUGGGCGCGAGCCUGAACCAGCCAAGUCGCGUGAGGGAGGACGGCCCUACGGGUUGUAAACCUCUUUUGCCGGGGAGCAACGGGCGUCACGUGUGGCGCCACUGAGAGUACCCGGAGAAAAAGCAUCGGCUAACUCCGUGCCAGCAGCCGCGGUAAUACGGAGGAUGCGAGCGUUAUCCGGAUUUAUUGGGUUUAAAGGGUGCGUAGGUUGUUUUAUAAGUUAGCGGUGAAAUACCGAUGCUCAACAUCGGGGCUGCCGCUAAUACUGUAGGACUAGAGAUCGGAUGCAGCAGGCGGAGUGUGUAGUGUAGCGGUGAAAUGCAUAGAUAUUACACAGAACACCGAUUGCGAAGGCAGCUUGCUAGGCCGGAUCUGACACUGAUGCACGAAAGCGUGGGGAUCGAACAGGAUUAGAUACCCUAGUAA
rnacentral:rRNA from 1 species